CCAACCGGCUCCAGGCUCAGCUUAACUGAACCGCCAUUUUGUAGAAAGAUAACUUGCGAAAAAUAGUGAGAAACCAAGAGUUUGAUUCUAUUGAUUGUUCAGUGUUCUGCAUAAUUGACAUAAUUUAACAUAGCGAAUUGUAAAACGAGAUGAUGGACAACCAAAGAGAAAAGGAAAGAGAUCGCUCCAGGCGCGGAGACCGACCUUCCAGGUUCUCCGACGCCACACGUGACCGUUCUGGAGACCGAGACAGGUCUGAAGGAAAGCGGUUAUUUGUUUCUAACAUACCGUAUGAGUUUCGUUGGACCGAAUUGAAGGAUUUAUUUAAAGACAAGGUAGGUGAUGUAGCUUAUGUUGAAUUAUUUAAUGAUGAAAAUGGAAAACCAAGGGGAUGUGGUGUGGUUGAAUUUGCAAACUCUGAAGCUAUGAAGAAAGCUCUUUUUGUUAUGCACAGAUAUGAACUUAAUGGGAGGAAACUUGUUUUAAAAGAAGAAACUGGUAAUGAAAGAAACAGAUUGAAUAACCCCAGGCAAGGAGGAGGAGGAGGUGGAGGUGGUGGUGGCGGUGGUGGUGGCGGCGGCGGUGGUGGACGGAACAUGAGAGAUGAUAAAGAUGGUUGGGGAGGGAACAAACCAAGAGAACCAGAAAACUAUAACACAUAUGGUUUGAGUCUACAGUUUUUGGAGUCUAUAAAUGUGUCACCACCUUUAGUCAAGAAAGUAUUUGUCGCAAAUCUUGACUACAAAGCAGAUCGCUCUAAAAUAAAGGAGGUGUUCAAAAUGGCGGGAAAAGUACGCAAUAUUGACUUAGCUGUUGACAAAGACGGCAAUAGCAGAGGAUUUGCUGUUAUUGAAUAUGACCAUCCUGUUGAAGCUGUACAGGCAAUAUCAAUGUUUGAUAAGCAGAUGCUAUUUGAUCGCAGAAUGACAGUCCGUAUGGACAGGGGCAUGACAGAUAAGACUGAACUAAGAUUGCCUGAAGGUCUCAAAGGCAUCGGCAUAGGGCUGGGACCCAAUGGGGAACCGUUGAGAGAUGUGGCUAGGAAUUUGCCCCAGAAUACAACUCCCAAUACACUGAACUUAGCAACUGCUGGAUCAUCGAUGGGUGCAGGAGUUUUAGGCGCUAUUCCUACGGGUGGUGUAGCUUUAAAUGGCCUUGGUUCAAGUUUAGGUGCCAACACACUGACCACAAAUGCAGCACUUAGCAACAGUUUAAGCUUGCAGGCCUUAGGGCUCACGGGUCUAGGAGCCCUACAGAACCAGCUGUUGCAGCAGGGUCUUACCGCCAAUGAUCUUGCCAAUGUGUUGUCGCAAGCUCAAGUUGCAAACAGUAAUACUAUGGGCCUCAAUACGUCAGAUGUUGGGAAUGUGCUAGGAAACAACAGCCACAGCAACAACGUUAUGGGAGUGGGACCGAAUACAAGUAUGAGCAGUGGACCACUAUCAGGGCCUAAUCGUCAACUAGGUGGAUCCUCGGUGUCGGGGCAGGGAUACGGCCGGGACCCGGGAGUUCAACAAAACAACAACCGGGACAAGCAACCAUCUGAUAUGGUUAUGAUCACAAAUCUUCCUCCAACAGUCACAUGGCAAUUAAUUCGUGAAAAGUUCAGCGAAUGCGGCGACGUGAAGUUCGCGGAAAUGACAGCGACAGAUACUGCCAUCGUGAGAUUCCAUAAAGAAUGGGAUGCCGAGAGAGCAGUCAAAAUGUUUGACAGGACCCGUAUUGACGGCAGGACAAUAGAUGUUCGAUUCUUUUAAGAGAAGCUUGCAGUAAAAAUACCUACAGAGUAAAUUCAAAUGAUACAAUGGAAAUAUUAUCGAUAACAGUCAAGCGGCACAUUAUUGAAAAGGAUAAACUAGGAUGUAUCUCAACUUCAGAGAGUUUAUGGUAAAAUACACUUACCGAAAAUUGUUGAUAAAAUCAAUAGUAAAUAGACUUCGUGAUUACAGGUGCAUUACGCUGUUUAUAUUGGGAAGGGAAACCAAAGAGUCGAAAACGAGUUUACAAUUAUAUAAAAGAAGCAAGAAGUGCAAUCAGAUAAUAUUAACAUUGACGUAAUAUAUCGUCCACAAUUGAGUAUUCACGACUAAAGUUGGAUUUAACCAAACUAACUGGCGGACGUUAUCAUAUAAUUACCUAAAAUUGCAGUUUUUAUGUUAACAUAUUGAUUGCUUGUACUUUGUCAAAAAGUUUUAAACCUAAAGCCUUCACAUGAUGUUACGUCAGACAGCCAUCAGAAGCCUAUGGGAUUCAUACAUUUUGUAAAAGGCCCGCAAACGAGACCAACGUGAGAAGAACAAAGUAACACCGAAGACGCAUGAGGGAAUUAUUUCUUUGUAUAUGUGUAUUAUAAUAAUAAUUUAUGGAGGUAUAAAUAAAAUGCAUUUUAACCG